GCUGGUGUAGCUCAGUGGUAGAGCGGCUCACUCGUAAUGAGCAGGUCGUGGGUUCAAUCCCCACCGCCAGCU
rnacentral:tRNA from 1 species